CCUCCUGCCAUCAGAUUGAGAUCGCGCUGUCUGAAGAGAAGGAAGGACAUAUUGGACUGUUUUCUAUGAUUUCUGUUAUUGCCUGCAUCUAAUUGAGGAUCAAGCCAGGGAAGACCGGUCUGUGACAGAGAUCUACUUUCAGAGAACAGCAGCUUGAUGCCAACCUGAGGAGGGAGGGAUGUGUAUAGUAUCUGUAAAUGAAUGUGUUUAUGAUGACUUUCCCAUAAACCCUCAGGGAAAUAUGACCCCCCUAGUUCCCAGGCCAGGGUGUUUGUGUGUGUGUGUGUGUGUGUGUGUGCUCACACAUGCUUAUGUGUAUGCUCACGUGCGAGCAUGUUUGUUCCCAAGAAAGAGAGGUCCAACUGCGGGUUCAGACCCUGUUCUGUCCUGGCUGUGGUGGAAAAAGUACCCAAUUGUCAUACUUAAGUAAAAGUAAAGAUACCUUAAUAGAAAAUGACUCAAGUAACAGUGAAAGUCACCCAGUAAAAUAAUAGUUGAGUAAAAGUCUAAAAGUAUUUGGUUUUAAAUAUACUUAAGUCUCAUAAGUAAAUGUAAUUGCUCAAAUAUAUUUUUUACUUAAAUAAAAGUAAAAAUAUAAAUUAUUUAAAAAAUUCCUUAUAUUAAGCAAACCAAACGGCAUGAUUCUUGUUUUUUCCCAAUUACGGAUAGCUAGGGGCACACUCCAACACUCUGACAUAAUUUACAAACAAAGCAUUUGUAUUUAGUCCGUCUGCAGAUCAGAUGUGGUAGGAAUGACCAGGGAUUGUCACGCCCUGACCAUAGAGAGCCCUCGGGGUUCUCUAUGGUGUUUUAGGUCAGCGCGUGACUAGGGGGGUUUCUAGGUAUUCUAUUUCUAUGUUGGUGUGUGUCUAUGGUUCCCAAUUGGAGACAGCUGAUGAUCGUUACCUCUAAUUGGGGAUCAUACUUUGUUUGUCCUUUUUCCCACCUGCGAUGUGGGAUAUUGUUUUGUGUGAGUGCCUAUGUGCGCCGUGUAUUUUACGAUCGUUAUGUCUUUGUUGUUUUGGAAGUCUCACGAUCAUUAAAAUGUGGAACUCUA